rnacentral:rRNA from 1 species
UACGGAGGAUGCGAGCGUUAUCCGGAUUUAUUGGGUUUAGAGGGUGCGUAGGCGGGCUUUUAAGUCAGCGGUAAAAAUUCGGGGCUCAACCCCGUCUGGCCGUUGAAACUGGGGGCCUUGAGUGGGCGAGAAGAAGGCGGAAUGCGUGGUGUAGCGGUGAAAUGCAUAGAUAUCACGCAGAACCCCGAUUGCGAAGGCAGCCUUCCGGCGCCCUACUGACGCUGAGGCACGAAAGUGCGGGGAUCGAACAGG